UACGUAGGGUGCGAGCGUUGUCCGGAAUUAUUGGGCAUAAAGGGCUCGUAGGCGGCUUGUCGCGUCUGCUGUGAAAGCCCGGGGCUUAACUCCGGGUCUGCAGUGGAUACGGGCAGGCUAGAGUCCGGUAGGGGAGACUGGAAUUCCUGGUGUAGCGGUGGAAUGCGCAGAUAUCAGGAGGAACACCGGUGGCGAAGGCGGGUCUCUGGGCCGGUACUGACGCUGAGGAGCGAAAGCGUGGGGAGCGAACAGG
rnacentral:rRNA from 1 species